rnacentral:rRNA from 1 species
AUUGAACGCUGGCGGCAGGCCUAACACAUGCAAGUCGAGCGGAUGAAGGGAGUUUGCUCCUGGAUUCAGCGGCGGACGGGUGAGUAAUGCCUAGGAAUCUGCCUGGUAGUGGGGGAUAACGUCCGGAAACGGGCGCUAAUACCGCAUACGUCCUGAGGGAGAAAGUGGGGGAUCUUCGGACCUCACGCUAUCAGAUGAGCCUAGGUCGGAUUAGCUAGUUGGUGGGGUAAAGGCCUACCAAGGCGACGAUCCGUAACUGGUCUGAGAGGAUGAUCAGUCACACUGGAACUGAGACACGGUCCAGACUCCUACGGGAGGCAGCAGUGGGGAAUAUUGGACAAUGGGCGAAAGCCUGAUCCAGCCAUGCCGCGUGUGUGAAGAAGGUCUUCGGAUUGUAAAGCACUUUAAGUUGGGAGGAAGGGCAGUAAGUUAAUACCUUGCUGUCUUGACGUUACCAACAGAAUAAGCACCGGCUAACUUCGUG